AACGAACGCUGGCGGUAGGCCUAACACAUGCAAGUCGAACGGCAGCAUCGUAACUGCUUGCGCUCACGGGUGGCGCGCGGCGGACGCGGCAGGUAUACAUCGAACACUACUUUGUCGUGGGGGAUAACGUAGGGAAACUUACUCUAAUACCACAUACGACCUCCUUGUGUAGGCCGGGGAUCUUUGGGCCUGUCGGGUUUGGAUGAGCCUAUGUCGGAUUAGCUAGUUGGCGGGGUAAAGGCCUACCAAGGCGACGAUCCAUAGCUGGUAUGAGAGGAUGAUCAGGCACACUGGGACUGAGACACGGCCCAGACUCCUACGGGAGGCAGCAGUGGGGAAUAUUGGACAAUGGGCGAAAGCCUGAUCCAGCAAUGCCGCGUGAGUGAUGAAGGCCUUAGGGUUGUAAAGCUCUUUUACCCGGGAUGAUAAUGACAGUACCGGGAGAAUAAGCGCCGGCUAACUCCGUG
rnacentral:rRNA from 1 species